UGCAAAACACUAUGCAAAAAUUCUAUAUUUCAGUGCAUUAUUCGAGGAUGAAGCGCAGAAUGACGUCAACGAUGAAAUUUCAAGCGCUUGGCAGCCCAGACCAUGGUGCAAUCUGGUUGACGAAAAGGCUGUCCACGAUCUUCUUGUGUGGGAGGAAAGGAAGGAAAAAAAAUGGACGAGGAGCUCAGCAGGUCGAUAUUGCCAGAGCCAUGGCCAUCCAUUGGGCAACCCAACGGACGCAAGCGCAAGCAUCCCAUGGACAAUCCAAAAGAGCCUGCUAUCGCUGUCGGGAAUCUUCUUAGCUGGGAGGAAAAAUGGGACCAGCAAUACAAUACCACAAGUCGCAAUUUGUACAGAGACCAAUGAGGUUGUAUUGCUUGGCCUGGAGCUGCAAUCCACCGAAGAAAUAGCCUCUUCUGUAAGGGGUUUCGGAGAUCCCCUGGACUAGUCACAGGCACAGGCGCAGGAGAUUUCCCCACAGGUCAUCAGAAAGGAAGUCCCAGGUCACUGGUAUUGGAUGUACGAAAAAUAAUAAUCGCGCCCAUCCAUCCCUCCAAUAAUAUCUGAACCUGUAUAAAUAAAGGUAUACUCAUAUACUCGCG